CGGAGGAUCCAAGCGUUGUCCGGAUUUAUUGGGUUUAAAGGGUGCGUAGGCGGAUCUUUAAGUCAGUGGUGAAAGCCUGCAGCUUAACUGUAGAACAGCCAUUGAAACUGAAGAUCUUGAAUGUGGUUAAAGUAGGCGGAAUGUAUCAUGUAGCGGUGAAAUGCUUAGAUAUGAUACAGAACACCGAUAGCGAAGGCAGCUUGCUGAACCAUUAUUGACGCUGAGGCACGAAAGCGUGGGGAGCGAACAAGAUUAGAUACCCUGGUAGUCCACGCCCUAAACGUUGAUUACUCGUUGUUGGCGAUAUACUGUCAGCGACCAAGCUAAAGCGUUAAGUAAUCCACCUGGGAAGUACGACCGCAAGGUUG
rnacentral:rRNA from 1 species